rnacentral:rRNA from 1 species
UACGAAGGAUUCGAGCGUUAUCCGGAUUUAUUGGGUUUAAAGGGUGCGUAGGCGGCCUAAUAAGUCAGUGGUGAAAGCCCGCAGCUUAACUGCGGAACUGCCAUUGAUACUGUUAGUCUUGAGUACAGUUGAGGUGGGCGGAAUGUGUCAUGUAGCGGUGAAAUGCUUAGAUAUGACGCAGAACACCGAUUGCGAAGGCAGCUCACUAAGCUGUAACUGACACUGAUGCACGAAAGCGUGGGGAGCAAACAGG